GACUCGGGUCUCCUCCGUUGAGUCCCUUCUCAGCCCUUAUCACGCCUCCAAACCCUCGACUCUCGAGUCAGAACGCCGUACCUCCCUUCUUCUCUCGCCGGCCGCCAUUUCUCUGAUCGCCGCCGCAUUCUAUCACGUUAUUCGUUGGACGUCGCAGCCAUCACCGGUCGCUUCUGCCCCAACCAAAAGCACUUCUGUGGCUCCGCCUGCGCACCGUAAUCCUCAGCCAUGAAGGUGAGGUCAUCAGUGAAGAAACUCUGUGAAUUUUGCAGAACGGUUAAGCGCCGUGGGAGAGUCUAUGUAUUAUGCACUGCCAAUCCCAAGCACAAGCAGCGUCAAGGCAUAUCAACAUUUGCUUAUGAGGGUCCACUGCCUCCUGCGUCAUCGGAGGUUGCCCCAAAUCAGGAAAAAUCGGCUAGCAACAGUUGGCCCAUAGGGCUCGCAUCCCUUCUAAAGAAACAAGACAAUUAAGUUGAAGAUGCAGGCAGAGUACAACGACUGGAUUACUUCUGAAUCACUAGGAACACCUGCUGUAUAUCAUCACAGCCUUGGAUGCUCUUUGCCAUAUCUUAAUAAGCUAGCUCUGUUAUUAUUUUCAGGUCAGAAUUUGUAACUGAUGGGUGCAGACGACAUAUAUUCGUGGCCCAAUGCUUCUUGUAAGGAAUAAUAUGGUAUGUGCAAUUCUGAGUCUCUAAUUGCCAUACCAAGCAUUACGUGUUGCUUUCAGGUAUCCUUGCAAAUAUUUCGCUAGCAUAAAAUUCUCAACGGGUUCAUUUAUUGUGUCUGCUUUGGGAUCCAA